AACGAACGCUGGCGGCAGGCCUAACACAUGCAAGUCGAGCGAGGACUUCGGUCCUAGCGGCGGACGGGUGAGUAACGCGUGGGAACGUGCCCUUUGCUUCGGAAUAGCCCUGGGAAACUGGGAGUAAUACCGGAUGAGCCCUUUGGGGGAAAGAUUUAUCGGCGAAGGAUCGGCCCGCGUUGGAUUAGGUAGUUGGUGGGGUAAUGGCCUACCAAGCCGACGAUCCAUAGCUGGUUUGAGAGGGUGAACGGCCACAUUGGGACUGAGACACGGCCCAAACUCCUACGGGAGGCAGCAGUGGGGAAUCUUCCGCAAUGGGCGAAAGCCUGACGGAGCAAUGCCGCGUGAGUGAAGAAGGCCUUCGGGUUGUAAAACUCUGUCCUUAUCGAAGAGAGAGUGUUGUAGUAACUGACAAUACUAGGACGGUAGAUGAGGAGGAAGCCCCGGCUAACUAUGUG
rnacentral:rRNA from 1 species